rnacentral:ribozyme from 12 species
CCCCAAAUGAAAAAAGAAAGAAAACCACGCGUGAUAGAAAACGGCCAUAGAUAUCGAAUAGAAAAAUAUAUGUGGCCUCACUGUUUUUCUCCUGUUUUUUUUUUUUCUCUUUUUUUUGUUGAUGUUCUUUAUAUGCUGUUAUUCU